UACAGAGGGUGCGAGCGUUAAUCGGAAUUACUGGGCGUAAAGCGCACGUAGUCGGCUUUGCAAGUCGGGUGUGAAAUCCCCGGGCUCAACCUGGGAACUGCAUCCGAGACUGCAUUGCUAGAGUAUGGGAGAGGGAAGCGGAAUUUCUGGUGUAGCAGUGAAAUGCGUAGAUAUCAGAAGGAACAUCAGUGGCGAAGGCGGCUUCCUGGACCAAUACUGACGCUGGAGGUGACGAAAGCGUGGGGAGCAAACAGG
rnacentral:rRNA from 1 species